rnacentral:rRNA from 1 species
GUGAGGAAUAUUGGUCAAUGGACGAGAGUCUGAACCAGCCAAGUCGCGUGAAGGAAGACGGUUCUAUGAAUUGUAAACUUCUUUUGUGCAGGAAUAAAGUGGGUUACGUGUAACCUUUUGUAUGUACUGUACGAAUAAGGAUCGGCUAACUCCGUGCCAGCAGCCGCGGUAAUACGGAGGAUCCGAGCGUUAUCCGGAUUUAUUGGGUUUAAAGGGUGCGUAGGUGGAUUGAUAAGUCAGCGGUGAAAGUUUGCAGCUUAACUGUAAAAUUGCCGUUGAAACUGUCGGUCUUGAGUGCAAAUGAGGUAGGCGGAAUGUGUUGUGUAGCGGUGAAAUGCUUAGAUAUAACACAGAACUCCGAUUGCGAAGGCAGCUUACUGGGAUGCAACUGACACUGAUGCACGAAAGCGUGGGGAUCAAACAGGAUUAGAUACCCUAGUAGUCC